rnacentral:tRNA from 4 species
GCGGAUGUGGCUCAGUUGGUAGAGCACAACCUUGCCAAGGUUGGGGUCGCGAGUUCGAAUCUCGUCAUCCGCUC